rnacentral:sRNA from 1 species
UUUAUCCGGGGUCUCCACCAGUCAGCGAGGAUUCGCCCACUGGUGUCGUCUCC